AUAAUUUUCUAUUAAUCUCCUAAACCUUUUUUCUAAGAUAGGAAUUUGGAUGUCGGGGAGAUGUUAACUACAUUCCUAAAAUUUCUCUCAAAUUGUAGGGAAAAUAGUGUUGGGAUGAAAUGCUCCAACUGGGAAUGGGUUUCACUGCGGCAUUUGUUCUUGCUGGGCAUCGAUUAUCUGGUCUUUUGAGGACUGGAUUUAGCUCUUGCUCAUUGGCUCCUAGAGAUUCGUUUCUUCUACAGUGCAGUGGUGCGUUGUUUUGCCAGGGCGAAGAGAUGUAUUGGCCGGUUGAUGUGGGCGCUGCAGAAGAGAUUUUUGGGUUAUGUUUCUUGCUAUCGAUUUUAGAUAUCUUCGUUCUGAGGUCUAGAGGAAAAAGGUCGUCUCAGGGUCUCUGUUUCUUGCCUACCGUCGUGUGUUGUUUGGAUCAUCUGGAUCGUUUCUCCCUCUCGUGCGUUGUGGAAGAAGAAAUGCCUGUCGAGGUCUCUGUUUGUUGCUUCCCGUUGUGUGUUCUGGCCUUGUUGUUGAUCGUUUUUUGUUGUGGCUUGCCGUUGUGUAAAAGAAAAAGUUCCUCUCGGGCUCUCUGUUCCUUGCCUCCCGUUGUGUAUUCUUGGCUUCUUGUUCCAAGUUUCUGGUUGUGAUCUGCCGUGGAUGCUGGGUUUGUUGGCUUCGCUGUACUUGUAUUGGAUUCUCACUUCGACCGUUUCUGUUCUGCACUAUGUUGGGCCGAACCUCAUACUGAUGAAGCAUUCUGUAAGUGAAUAGAAAUUUAGUGGUUUGUAAAGUUUGUUGGUUGUAGUUAUGAUGUCAUACUUUAUUUGCUAAUUUUGAUGAGCCUUGCUAAUCUAGGAGAUGCGAUUUUUACGCCUUGAAUUUAUACUGGUAGUUUCAGACGAGGUUUUAGAAAAGUGAUUUUAUCAUGCAGCAUAGAGUGAGUUGAAAGCACUAUGGUUGGUACUUUGUCUGGAGAUGCAUGUGCUGCCUAGGAUUUUGUAUGCCAGAUUUUCUGAAGACGGCAUCAAUGAGUAGCUAGACCAAAAUUGGGAUUUUUUAACAGAAUGAUAUUAGUAAAGUUAGCCUUAUUUUCUGAGUUAUCUAUAAAUCUUUCAAAGUUGAGUCCACAUUGUUUUGGGUUUUGGGAGAAAGGUGUUCUUUCUUGGUUCAUUGUUUGGCAGUGUGAUCUUGAGCCGAGAAGUCUUGAUAUGAUGUUUCUGGAUGAGAUGAAAUAGUAUAGAUUUACUGUUGUCUUUUGAUGCUUCGUGAAUAUUAAAUGCUCAAAUCAUACCUUGUCGUGGAGUGUUUAGUUUA